CACUGCUAUCAUGUCCCCCCUCAUCCUUCUCUUUGUUAAACUAGACAUACCCAAUUCCAGCAACCGUUUCUGCAACUGGUAGGAUCCCAGAGUAGAAUUUACUGAAAGCACAGAUGCAAGCUGUUAUGAAAUUGCACAGCAGGUGUCCAGAUGAAGUCAGAGACACUGACAUGAACUUGUAGUUUUAUAUAAAUAAAUAUUUUUAACGUUUAUAUCUACAACAGACAAGUUAGUCAGGAACGCAGAAACAUGAGGUAAAUCUAAAUAGCAUACAGAGCAACAGAAGAAAAAGGCGGGAAAAAAGGGAAACUCCCCCUUUAUACCCACAUCAACCAAUCACAGCAUAGAUUAUGUCAUGCAUGAGCAGACAAGAUGGUCAGGAAUGCAGGAACAUGAGGUAAAUCUAAACAGCAUACAAAGCACACAGAAGAAAAAAGUGGAGAAAAAGGGAAACUCCUCCUUUACCCCCACAAUAACCAAUCAUAGCAUAGAUUGCCUCAUGCAGGAGCCAGCACUCUCCAACCAAUCAACUUCAACCGUGUGUUCUGGCCCAUUGUCCAUUUUACUGUUCCAGCUACUAAAUUAAAUAUCCUAACACAAGUGCUUGAAGUAGGAAAAGGGAGGAAGCAGCAACAGAAGGCAAUGUGCAUGCACAAAAAUUUUUGACGAUAAUCUGAAAACAAAGGAAAGCCCCCCCCCCCUUCAAGAAUAGUGGAGAAAGUGUCAGGAAAUCUGGAAUUGGAGUAAAUUAACUUGGUUUUAGAAUACAAAGUGAUAAAUAAACGUCAUAGCUCUUAUUUUAGCUCAGUCCUUGAAAAAGAGGUUUCCCUGAGCCACGGUGAAAAUAGAAGAUGCAAGAUUGCACACAGCUUUCCUCUAAAACCGAAUCAAGGACAGUUUAACUGUGCCUUAAACCUCAAAUCUCAGUCUGUUGGGUCCUAUUAUGGGGUCAUUUUAGAUUCAUCACUGAGGUUGUUGGGGACAAAAUUUAGAAGUAAACAUUGCCUUAAGCUUCUAAAAGAAGGGAAAAUAAAUUAAGUAAUAUUUUUUUUAAAAAAAAUUCCUGUAUUCCUGUCUUUUGGUUAUGGAGGCCCAGAUGUUUGUUCCUACCUAAGGAUUUAACCAGGUCAACCCCUACUUCAUUGUGAAAGUACUGUUUACAAGGGUUAUCUCCUGACCAUUUAGACUGGGAUGCAGUCACUUAUCCAAAAUCAAACAGAGUCCGUCACUUUUGAUUUAUUGCCCAAGUGUCAUUAAUUCUGUGUGACAGUUUUCUUUCCAGGAUCAAAUGUACUAAUGUUCACAAAGCGUUGAGUUUACAAAGCAUUGAGUCCAGCCUAGCCAGAGGAAAUGCACUGUGAAGAAAAGAAGCUACAAGGAGAAAGGACUGGGUGCAGAUUCUGCCAUGCCUCCCUCCUUGCCCUGAAAACAGGCCUUGGGCCAGUAGCCCAUUAAGGUACAGGAAGUGGGACUGAAGGUUUGCAUGGGAUGGUUUUGAAGAAAGUAUGCGGCAGCUGUUACAUAAAUAUCAGCUUAGCCCAGGAAGGCAAGAGGGGGUGAGGAAGAAACUCAAGAUUGGCCUGCCUUGACUCUUUUUGGUAUAAGAGGGAGUUAGGUUUUCAAGAUUCAUACCUAUAGCAAUAGAGAUGAGUUCUAACAGGGUUUUUUUUGUCUAUUUUCUGAAUUUGAAGAGACAGGAGUCCAAAUAAUCACUCGGUCACUCGUGCCCUGGUCAUCUCCCGAUUGGACUAUUCUAAUGCACCUACAUGGGGUUGUAAGGUUUUUCAGCUCAGAAUCCUAAUAAAUCCCACUGAGACUCUGAACAUGAGGCAUUCUGAAAUAAACACAGCUUUAUUCCUUUAAUCAAAGUUAUAGGUCAGUCCAAUGCAGAGGAUGGGAGGCUUAUUACUGCCUCAAAUGGCAUCAAAAGCAACAAAGAGAGACCUAUUGGCUGCAAGGGAAGCGUUGUGGAAACCUGCUUGGCAGAAAAAGAAGCCUGGAAUAAGACUAAAAAGGGAAAUUUAAAACUGUAUAUACUGGAUUUCAGGCAUUUUAGAACUAUGGAUUGAUUUAAAGCUUAAGCUCUUGAGUUAGAAGUAACAAAAAUGGUUGAUUAUUAGAAUAUAUACAUUAAAUAAAGUAAGAAUGUAUUUUUGGAAUAAUAGGUUUAUUUCUAUGAAAAUUAUUAUAUAAUGGAAUGAAGAAAAUUGAAGAGGUAUUCUAGAAUGGGACUGAACUAAUAAUUAAUUGAAUGUUAUUUCAACAAGAUGAUGGGAUAGAUCAAUAAAUGGGAGAUAUUAGUGGAAGAAGGAAUAAACAAGAUUUAUGAUAAAAUUAAAGAAUUAGAAUAUAUUUGGAAGGGAUACUUGAACUGAUAAUGUGGUUAUUUAAAGUUAAAUUUGAUUAUGGUAAUUGUAUAAAGCUUUAAAACAGGUCUGGGAUUAAUAGAAAUUUAAGUUAGAAAUAGACUAUAAGCUAUGUGAGGGAAAUAGAGAGGGAGUAUUUGAUGUACCGAUUGUGUUAUCUAUAUAUGUUUUAUUUUUGGAUUUUUGAUUACCCAGCACCACAAUGUGUCUCGAGCACUUUGUUUUAAAAAUUAAAAAAACAAUAAAAUUUGUUUUAAAAAAAAA